GGCCCUGUCACAAUCCACCAAUUGUUCUGAAGGCAGAGCGCCUCUGAAGCAGCCCCUGCUGCAGAGGGGCCUGCGAAGAGUCUGAGUCCUCUCCUCCGUGAUUUUCCUGAAAUAUCCCAUUUCUAGGAAGGAACAGCCCACAGGAAACCACACGCCCGCUACUGAAAUGAUGUGCAACAACAGUAGCUAGCUCACUGGAGGCAGAAUAUGCCUGGGACUCUCAGGGGCAUCUCUGUCCUUGUCCCUCCUCUGAGAGCAGACAGAGCUUUACUCGGCAAAAGGCCUUCUCCUCGGUUCCAGUGCAGCUUUUCUUCUCCACUUGGAUUUUCUGCCCAAGACAGAGUGUCUAUCCAGCAGGACAUAAUGAGUUGAUGCCUCUGGUUCCUUCCAGCAGCCAGCAGUCUCAGCUACUCCUUUUCUUGCCUGCGGAAACCAGGCUGGGCAAGGGAAUACCAAGAGGCACCCAAGGGAUCACGUGGGAGUCAAACAUAUUCCUCCAUACCCUCUGGUUUAAAAGCAGCCCUAUCUCCUCCAGACGACCUGGGUCAAUUACCCCCACCAAGAUGGGGGCUCCUUUCCUUACCAACUGGAUGCUGGACACAAAGAGGAUAAGGUGUUCUGGUGGCAGCCACAGCUUAUAAC
rnacentral:lncRNA from 1 species